rnacentral:rRNA from 1 species
AUGUUCCCGUGGUUGGAUCCGUUCCGCUGUUCCCGUGCGUGGAAUCAGCAGCAAAGUGGAGGAAUUUCAGGCGGAGGAAGGAUUUGGCCGGCAGCUCAGGUGCCCGCCCCCUGGGGGUCUGAAAUCGUGGCCGCCCGCGUCCCCCAGAAGGUGCUGCAGUUCGCCGACAUUGAUGAUGUCCUCACUUCCUCUCGUGGAUCCACCAAGAAAUGGAAUCGCCACCUUCACAGCAGAACAUCACGCGCCAGUGGUCGAUGGACUGCCAAUGCUGCUCCAAAGGGGCUGACCUUCACCUCCCCGUGUCCCUGA